UGCCUGAUGGAGGGGGAUAACUACUGGAAACGGUAGCUAAUACCGCAUAACGUCGCAAGACCAAAGAGGGGGACCUUCGGGCCUCUUGCCAUCAGAUGUGCCCAGAUGGGAUUAGCUAGUAGGUGGGGUAACGGCUCACCUAGGCGACGAUCCCUAGCUGGUCUGAGAGGAUGACCAGCCACACUGGAACUGAGACACGGUCCAGACUCCUACGGGAGGCAGCAGUGGGGAAUAUUGCACAAUGGGCGCAAGCCUGAUGCAGCCAUGCCGCGUGUAUGAAGAAGGCCUUCGGGUUGUAAAGUACUUUCAGCGGGGAGGAAGGUGUUGAGGUUAA
rnacentral:rRNA from 1 species